GGAUGAGCCAGGAAGCACCUCUAGUAGCCAUCUGAGGAGUGGCCACUGGAGGUGUCUCUAGGCUGUAAUGUAAACACUAUCUUUUCUCUGAAAAAAAGUGCUUACUGCAAAAGCCUGAAGAGAAUGAUUAUUGUGACAGAGCUCCUGUACUCCGAAUGAGUACCUCUGCCCAGGGCCAUCUUUAAUAUUGACUAGACCCUGGGCAAAGCAUUUGCUUGGGCCCCCUGGACCCUGUCCCCCCUCCCCAGGCGUGCAAUCACGUCUUCCACCCCAAUGCAAUGGCGG